rnacentral:tRNA from 2 species
GAAGAAGUUCUUUGAAAGAGAGUUCAACCGAUAAUUGGGCUGAGCAGGUUUGAAUCCUGUCUUCUUUA